AUUGAACGCUGGCGGCAGGCCUAACACAUGCAAGUCGAGCGGAUGAAGGGAGCUUGCUCCUGGAUUCAGCGGCGGACGGGUGAGUAAUGCCUAGGAAUCUGCCUGGUAGUGGGGGAUAACGUCCGGAAACGGGCGCUAAUACCGCAUACGUCCUGAGGGAGAAAGUGGGGGAUCUUCGGACCUCACGCCAUCAGAUGAGCCUAGGUCGGAUUAGCUAGUUGGUGGGGUAAAGGCCUACCAAGGCGACGAUCCGUACCUGGUCUGAGAGGAUGACCAGUCACACUGGAACUGAGACACGGGCCAGACUCCUACGCGAGGCAGCAGUGGGGAAUAUUGGACAAUAGGCGAAAGCCUGAACCAGCCAUGCCGCGUGUGUGAAGAAGGUCUUCGGAUUGUAAAGCACUUUAAGUUGGGAGGAAGGGCAGUAAGUUAAUACCUUGCUGUUUUGACGUUACCAACAGAAUAAGCACCGGCUAACUUCGUG
rnacentral:rRNA from 1 species